rnacentral:rRNA from 1 species
AUUGAACGCUGGCGGCAGGCCUAACACAUGCAAGUCGAACGAGUGGCGGACGGGUGAGUAAUGUCUGGGAAACUGCCUGAUGGAGGGGGAUAACUACUGGAAACGGUAGCUAAUACCGCAUACCAUCAGAUGUGCCCAGAUGGGAUUGGCUAGUUGGUGGGGUAACGGCUCACCAUGGCGACGAUCCCCAGCUGGUAUGAGAGGAGGACCAGCCACACUGGAACUGAGACACGGUCCAGACUCCAACGGGAGGCAGCAGUGGGAAAUAUUGUACAAUGGGCGGAAGCCGGAGGCAGCGAUGCCGCGUGUAUGAAGAAGGCCUUCGGGUGGUAAAGUACUUUCAGCGGGGAGGCGUUACUCGCAGAAGAAGCACCGGCUAACUCCGUGCCAGCAGCCGCGGUAAUAC